rnacentral:tRNA from 1 species
GCACUGUGGCACAGAGGGUUAAUGCCCUGGCCUGAAGCGCCAGCAUCCCCGGGUUCGAGACCCGGCUGCUGCA